UACAAAAUUAAUCCUGAAGUCCAUCCGUUACGAUAUGAUUAUUACAACACAAAUAACGAAGAUGAUGAUUCUGUUAAUAUUUUUCAAGAAGAAGGCGAUCAGUCAGAAAAUAGAGAAUUUACUAUAUCUGAGGAUUUAGGGCUCAAUGAAGUAGCUAGUCUCGCCAUAGAUUUGAUGGCAGAAGAACCAGGUCCUUCUAGGGCAAGGACUCGUAGGUCACAGAGAAUUCUUGAAAAACAACAAAGACUUGAAAUAAUUGAGCAGCGCGUUGCUGAAGCAGAUUCUGAUGCCGAUGAUUUUUGAAAAAUGAUGAGGGUCAUGGACAAGCUCAAAGGGAAGAAGCGCGGAGAUCGUGGUGACUCCUCGAGGUCACGGUCGACUAGGGGUUCAGGUGGUGGGGAUACCUCCUCUAUGUUGUUCCAGGGCUCUACAGCGUCAAGGCAGCGGCUCC